AAUUAGAAAGCGAAUUAUUGCACUUAGUUUCGACCUAAAUUUUGGCUUAUGCCUCUAAUUA
rnacentral:tRNA from 1 species